GGAAAGGCGUCCUACGGCCGGCUAGGCAGCCGCCCCCUUGGAUGCUGUGGUUGUAAGGUGGGUGACCGACCGACUUCACUUGGGGUCUCUGUGCCUUCCGAACCCGCUUUCACAGCUCUUCUAGCUGGCCCCUGAGCAACGCGGGCCUCCGCCUCCGGGAAGCCCUCCGGGCCCCCCCACCCCGCCCCGGCGCGCCCCCCGCUCUACCGACUCCGGGGCGCCUAGGGCGCUGCUCCCGCCCCCACGCGGGUAUCACCGGUGUCGGGACGCCCAGGAGAAAGUCCUCCAGCGCCUCGAGUCCCGGCGGAGCCCGCACGGGAGCCGUGGCGGCCGCGAGACGCCUACGGCCUCCGGGAGGUGAAGAGAGUCCAGGGACUACGGCAGCCCCGAGCUUGGGGCACACCCACGGACAGGCCCGGAGGCUGGUCCCCGCGGCUCUUACUGUUUCACGUUGUCCCCCAGCGCCUCGCUCAAGUUCUUCUUGGCUGCCUCCAGCUCGCUCACAAAGGUCGCCAUUGCAGCGCGCGUCUUUCAGCCCGACCGUAGACCGCGCGGCCCACGGCCACCAGCAACCGAAAGAUCAACGCGGCGGAAGGCCUGCGCGCCGGACGCUGGAGGCUCGACUCGACUCGAUUCCACUCGGCUCGGCUCGGCUCGGUUCGGCUCGGCUCGGCUCGGUUCGGCUCGGCUCGGCUCGGCUCGGCUCCGCUCGGCUCGGCUCGGCUCCGCUCGGCUCGGCUCGGCUCGGCUCUGCUCGGCGGCCCCGCCCCCAUCCGCUAGGGAGACGUUGCGUGGGUUUGGUUCUUGGCCCCGCCGUCUCGCAGUUGGGAAAGCACCCAGCCAAACUCCCUUCGCCAACUCCCGCCUCUUGGCUCACGUGACCCGCUUCCCCUGGUGGGCGCGUGCCCAACCUACGCCCGCCUGCCCGCCCGCGGCGGCCCCCGGGGCGCGAACUUGACCGCCCCGCCCGCCCUCCGGCCAGGCCCCGCCCUGACUGCAGGUCAGCUCUUCCCAGAAGGAAGAGCUCAGGUCCCCGAGUGCAUGCAAUAUCUAAUUUAUCCUCUUGUCCUCAUUUUUUUGCCAAGUGCUCACCACCUAUUGUGACAUUUAGUUGGUCGAUCUCGUUUUCUGCCUCCUGCAACUAAAACGAGAGCUGCCUGAAGGCAGGAUUUAUGUUACUCAAGUUCUGAACAUUCACUAUUGACAGAUCAAAUAAAAAUAAUUCCCAAGCAGGACUACCAAAGGUCCUAGGGGAGGUAACAGGAGGAGUCUCAGCAGCUAGUUAGCCUGACCCACAGAGGAAAAGACGCAAAGAACCUCGUUUCAAGUCAAGGUCAAGUGGAAGGACCCACAAGCUAGCUUGUCCUCUCUCAAAUUCCAAAUUCACACUCGAAUAUGCACAUAUAUACUACACUAGGAAGCCAUAGCUGUGUUCAGCUUAAAACUUUUUAAAGCCUACUUUUAAAGUCUCUCUCUCUCUCUCUCUCUCUCUCUCUCUCUCUCUCUCUCUCUCUCUCUCUCUCGUUUUGACAGAGUGGCCUCUUAACUCACAUAGAUCCAACUGCCUCUAGUGCUGGCUGGGACUAAAGGCAUGGGUCACCAUGCCCAGCUUGUUUGUUCUUGAAAUAGGGUCUCUCUUUGUAGCCCUGGCUAUCUGACACCAGGCUAUUAUUUUGCCUUAAUGUUCAUGUUUGUUUGUUUGUUUUUUGAGACAGGGUUUCUCUGUAUAGCCCUGGCUGUCCUGGAACUCACUUUGUAGAACAGGCUGGCCUUGAACUCAGAAAUCCACCUGUCUCUGCCUCCCAAGUGCUGGGAUUAAAGGCAUGUGCCACCACUGCCCGGCUAAUGUUCAUACUUUUAAUGACAGCAUAAUUUUUUAAAGAUUUUGUUUUUAGGUAGAUGUCGUUGUGAGUGAAUUUACAGGUGGUUGUGAGCAGCGGGCCCUGUUAAAUACUGCACAGAUAAGAUGCAUACAAUGACUUCUUUCCUGUCUAUUAAACUGGGGUUUUCUCCUGUAUUAAAAGAAAUAUUUUAACAAGCA
ensembl:lincRNA Gm15853 predicted gene 15853